GACGAACGCUGGCGGCGUGCUUAACACAUGCAAGUCGUACGGACAGGCCCUGGCCUUGGUUCUUGUGCGCUAGCGGCGAACGGGUGAGUAACACGUGGGUGAUCUGCCCUUCACUCUGGGAUAAGCUUGGGAAACUGGGUCUAAUACUGGAUAGUACCAUGCUUUGCUUGGUCCUGGAGGAAAGGCUUCUUUUUCGGGCUGGUGUGGGUUGAGCUUGCGGUCUGUCAGCUGUUUGGUGGGGUAAUGGCCUACCAAGGCGUCGACGGGUAGCCGGCCUGAGGGGGAGUACAGCCACAUUGGGGCUGAGAUACGGACGAGACUGUUGCGGGUGGCAGCAGUGGGGAAUAUUGCUCAAUGGGCGAAAGCCUGAUGCAGAGAAGCGGCGUGAGGGAUGAAGGCCUUCUGAUUGUAAACCUCUUACGCUGGAGACGAAGCUUUUUUUGGUGACGGUACCUGGAGAAGAAGCACCGGCUAACUACGUG
rnacentral:rRNA from 1 species